UACGUAGGGUGCAAGCGUUAAUCGGAAUUACUGGGCGUAAAGCGUGCGCAGGCGGUUAUGGAAGACAGGGGUGAAAUCCCCGGGCUUAACCUGGGAACUGCAUUUGUGACUGCAUAGCUAGAGUACGGUAGAGGGGGAUGGAAUUCCGCGUGUAGCAGUGAAAUGCGUAGAUAUGCGGAGGAACACCGAUGGCGAAGGCAAUCCCCUGGACCUGUACUGACGCUCAUGCACGAAAGCGUGGGGAGCAAACAGG
rnacentral:rRNA from 1 species